UUCGACUCUGAGUAGAUGGAUGUAGGAUGUAUCAUAAUCAAUUUAAUCAUGGUAGGCAUACCCCUAAACCUAGUCUGGACUUUGUGAAAAGAUGUUAACAUGGCUGACAUUGAUCUACAAUAACAUGAGGAAGCUGAAACAUCUGGAAAUGAUCCCUCAUGUGAAAAUCUGUAUUGACAAACUGAAGUUAAUUUUGGAUGUUCCAGAGAAACUCCUCUCCAUGUCAACUGAUUGCUUUAGUCAGACUCUAGAUACAGGUGACCAAGUUUUGAAAGCCUUUAGAAAUGUGACAGCUGAGGAAGUGUUUAUUGAGGUCAUAAAAUAGCUUGCUGAAGGUUUUUGCAUGGUACUGCAGAGACUGUGAUAAGCACAACUGAUGCUCCUGUUCACUACAUGCACAGCAAGAGAACUCUUCGAAUGUUUAAUUUUCAGUGUCACAGAGCAACAGUUAGCUUUAGAGAUGGCAAAGCUAUGUUUGUCAUGAACAAGACGAUGACCUGAUUGAAGAAUAAAGAAAAAAAAGAGUUCCCCUUUCUAACCUUGUGAUCUAUAUGGCUGAUGAUGUAA
rnacentral:sRNA from 1 species